rnacentral:rRNA from 1 species
AUUGAACGCUGGCGGCAGGCUUAACACAUGCAAGUCGAGCGAGCGGCGGACGGGUGAGUAAUGUCUGUGAAACUGCCUGAUGGACGGGGAUAACUACUGGAAAACGUAGCUAAUACCGCAUACCAUCAGAUGUGCCCAGAUGGGAUUAGCUAGUAGGUGGGGUAAUGGCUCACCUAGGCGACGAUCCCUAGCUGGUCCGAGAGGAUGACCAGCCACACUGGAACUGAGACACGGUCCAGACUCCGACGGGAGGCAGCAGUGGGGAAUAUUGGACAAUGGGCGAAAGCCUGAUGCAGCAAUGCCGCGUGUGUGAAGAAGGCCUUCGGGUUGUAAAGCACUGUCAGCGAGGAGGCGUUACUCGCAGAAGAAGCACCGGCUAACUCCGUGCCAGCAGCCGCGGUAAUUC